ensembl:lncRNA
AAAUGGGUUAACUCUGCCCCCUUUUUGAUCUGAAAGCUGUCCUUGUAAAACAACUGGAAAUUCUGUAAGAAUUGCAUCUCCUGCAACUGUUUUCUUCAUGGUCCCUUCAAAGAGUAUGUGACAUCUUAAAUGUGGGGAACAGAACUUCUACUCCAUGAAGCUGUGAUCUCGUGGGUGACAGGACUGGGAGACAUAUGUAGUAGGAGAAUCAACUGUAGGCAAACAUCACUCAGGGCUGUUUUCAAGGACACCCAAGGAUCAAGGUCCCGUGUCAUUCCCAUGAGUUCCACACUGCUGCUUCAUCAUCCCUGGUGCUGGAAAGCAGGCCCUCAAUUUCACCUGGAUAUUUCUGUCAUUUAAAGACCAUCAUUUCUUGCCCUAUCCCAGAACAUCAUUGUGUAUGUAUGCUCUGCCUGCUUUAAUGUAGUGUUUGCUUUUCAGAGAGAGCACAGAAGCAAAGGAAGCUAAGUUGUGCCUUGGAAAGUGGCUGGCAAGCCUUUCUGGCUAAGCAAGGUUUUGACCGGAAGACUAAAAACUCAGCUUAUAUUGUACCUGUAUGGCUUUAAAGCCAGGUGUAUUGGCUGCUAGAAUGUAAUGAGUGGAUACCACAACAGGAAUAUGAGAAGAUUUAUUGCUAAGACCGUGAGGUGGUGGAGUCUGUGCUUGUGAUCUGUCGUGUGGCAAGAGCAAGAAACAGCAGUAACCAAGACCUUGUUCAGUGAUGGGAAAAGAAGACAAAUGUCUGUUUCUUUGAGGAGAGGAGGCUCCUGCUUCUUUGGAAGAAAGAUUCCACACCCUCAUUAUUCUUAGAGUUGCCAUCGACACUCGGUACUGCUAUGUACCUUCUGCAUGGAGACUGCAGAAACCUUGCGAAGCUCCAUGGUUGCUGGUGAGUAAUUAAAAGACCCAUCUGUAGGAUUUGCGUGUGUGAAUACCUGUAGCAUUUUCCUUCCCAAUGAAAUACUCUCUGACCGGUCUGCCUUGGAUUUGGGUGCCAUUGUAUCAUCCCGAGCCACCCUUUCUUCCUCAAGUCUCCACGAUUCAAUCUCUGCCCAUGUGCCUGGUGUCCAGACCAAUCUUACUCAUCAGGAGCACACAGAUGUGAGAAUGUAACAAGGUGCUGCUUAUGAAGAAAAUUCUGUGAAAUUGAUUUUGUCACUAAGUUUGUAGUGAAAGUAUUUUGACUCCUCGUUACUGAUCAAAGCUGAACUGCGAGUCUGCAUGGUGUGCAUGGUGGUGCCACUAGAUGUCCCUUGUCACCCAAGUGAUGUUGGUGGCUCAUCCCCAGUGCUAUAUGAUGUAGCACUGUAAAGAAAUCAGUGUUUAAAGCAUUCGAUAUAGAGAGAUGUUGUGGCUGUCUCAAAAAGAAGACUUGUGUUAUCCUCAGAAAGCUGACAUCUUGGCGAGGACAUCUGUGCCACUCAGCAUGCCUAUGCCCUUGCACAGCUUCACCUGGGCUUCUGUGGAGUGAUUCCUGCUCGCCCUUGUCCCCCAUGGUGCUCUGUGCACCUACCAUUGCUGUAUGAGUAGGGGGAUGCGCCUGUCCCCAUGCUGCCCUGAAAGCUUCUGUGCCGUGUUAUCAGCCCCAGGAUGUGUCGCUGCAGUGUGUGAUCGCGCAGACCAUGCUGUUGAGUAUUCAGAGUCACAUACGCUCGCCUGAAUGACUGAAAUGAAGUAUUUGCUGCUUUCUACUUCAUUUAAACCUGCGGGAGCUGGUAGUGCUCAUCCUCCCCACACACUGAGGUAUCCACACGUGCCACUUGCCAGCCUGGGGCUUCUUCCCCAAGCAAUGGCUGAGCAAAUCUCUUAAUAACAGAGCAACUACUCGCAGAUUAUUGUGAUCAUAAUUUGGCUGACAUAGCCUUUAUUACUAAUGGCAAUGCUGGAAAUGGAAAACCCAGCUUGAUGCUCAGCUCCCUGCUGGAAAGUAAUAAAAUAAAGAGGAACAAAAUCAGUGAGUGUAUUUGCUACCAAACCUUUGAAAAACACAAAAGUGGAACCCUGCCAAUGCUCUUGCUGGCGGUUUUUCAGACCAGAGCCUCUCUCCAAGCUUUUGGAGCGCCGCUACCAUCAGCUGCUCUAACACCAGCAUGAAGUGUGAAGGUACCAUCUCUCUUCACAGUGGCUCUGCAGAUAGCAGUGCUGCCCAUUUGUAUGACCCAAGAGGCUGUGCAACGCUUUAAGACUGGAAUUAAGAUGAGCUUUUGGUAGCAUCUUGCUACCAGGAGAUGAGCUUUGCAAACCAAACAGACUUGAUGCCAUCGCUCCUAGUGACCUCCAGUUAUGGGUACUUUCUGAGCCCUGUAUGAACUCCAGGAGAGUACAGGCUUAAAUUCUGCAUCUCAGCAGCCAAAAUGUGUGGCUAAUAAAUCCCGAACGCUGACAAAGGGUGCGUAGGAUCGGGAAUCUCAGCCCACAGGAUGAACUGGGAAGUGGAAGGUGGAGAUGAUGGCUGAAGUCUGCCAAGAUUCAGAGGAGCACAGCAGCGUGCCAGACCCUCUCUGGAUGUGAGCACUGAACGAUUCUGAAAUCCAGCAUCAAAAAAUUGAACAAAGACAGUCGCAGAAGACUACACUGAGGAGGACAAAAUCAAAAGCACAACUAGAGAAUGCCACUGCAGAUAAAGAUCUAGUGAUUAAUGAAGGCCAUGGAUGAGUCAACAGUGUGUGAUGUCGUUGAGGAAAAGAGAUAAAUGUAAUCCUAGAUUCUCUUGAAUUGUCUGCUAGCAACACUGUAUGUAAGACAGGAGAUAAUUAGCAUGCUCUUUUUGGCACUGCGAGAAGAUGGAUCAGAUGAAUAUCUCACAGUUGGUGGAUGAGAUCCCUAGAACUACGAUGGAGCGUUCAAGUUAUUACAAAUUCUUCCUUCCUCCUCAUCUUUGAUGACUGCCUUCUUUGGACGACACAGUGAGCUGCCUGAUUUUGUCACAUCUAUGUGAAGAGCAUUUCCCUAGAGUGCAAUGUGAGCCCAGUUCUUUGCUCUGCUGCAACAUAUCCUAAGAGAAUUAGAACUGCAUAUUAGCACAGAUUUAUGCUACUGGAACUAAUGGAGUGCCACUCCUAGUCAUGUGUCGUCAUCCUCUGAGUGAAACACUCCCAGAAGAGGGUUGCUGAUGAGCACUGGUGAGAAACAU